rnacentral:tRNA from 2 species
GGGCGGCUAGCUCAGCUGGUUAGAGCGCUUCUCUGAUAAGGAAGAGGUCGGAGGUUCAAAUCCCUCGUCGCCCACCA